UACAGGGGGUGCAAACGUUGCUCGGAAUCAUUGGGCGUAAAGCGCACGUAGGCGGUUCGUUAUGUCGGAUGUGAAAGCCCUUGGCUUAACCGAGGAAGUGCAUCCGAAACUGGCGAGCUAGAGUACUAAAGAGGAUCGCGGAAUUCCCGGUGUAGAGGUGAAAUUCGUAGAUAUCGUAAGGAAGACCAGUGGCGAAGGCGGGUCUCUGGACAGUUCCUGACGCUGAGGCACGAAGGCCAGGGGAGCAAACGGG
rnacentral:rRNA from 1 species